AUGCCAGCAUGGCGGUCAUCCUUGGAGCCGAUAACAAGCCGCCAUGUGUCAUUGGAACCGUCGAACCACGCAGUGGUCGGGUCCCGGAAGUCCUUCUCCCCGACGCCCGGCGGCGGGUACAUCACCGGAUUGUUCUCAUACUUGGUCCAGUUGGUUAGUAAGGGAUCGGAGGGGUCGGUAGGGAAGGCAAGGCAUUGGACCUGGACGGAGGCGUUGGUGGAGCCGGUGUAG
rnacentral:rRNA from 1 species